rnacentral:rRNA from 1 species
UACGGAGGGUGCAAGCGUUGUCCGGAUUUAUUGGGCGUAAAGCGCGCGCAGGCGGCCGUGCAAGUCGGAUGUGAAAACACGAGGCUCAACCUCGUGCCUGCAUUCGAUACUGCUCGGCUCGAGGCAGGUAGGGAGAUCGGAAUUCCCGGUGUAGCGGUGAAAUGCGCAGAUAUCGGGAGGAACACCGGUGGCGAAGGCGGAUCUCUGGGCCUGUCCUGACGCUCAGGCGCGAAAGCUAGGGGAGCGAACAGGAUUAGAAACCCC